UCCGGUUUGACACCGGCAGUCUCCCUAGAGUGCCCGACAUUACUCGCUGGCAACUAACGAUAAGGGUUGCGCUCGUUGCGGGACUUAACCCAACAUCUCACGACACGAGCUGACGACAGCCAUGCAGCACCUGUGUUACGGUUCCCUUUCGGGCACACCCACCUCUCAGCGGGCUUCCGGACAUGUCAAGGGUAGGUAAGGUUGUUCGCGUUGCAUCGAAUUAAUCCACAUCAUCCACCGCUUGUGCGGGUCCCCGUCAAUUCCUUUGAGUUUUAGCCUUGCGGCCGUACUCCCCAGGCGGGAUGCUUAAAGCGUUAGCUGCGGCACGGGGGGGGUCGACACCUCCCACACCUAGCAUCCACCGUUUAGGGCGUGGACUAC
rnacentral:misc_RNA from 1 species